UAAUAGUGUAUAUUAAAGUUGUUGCAGUUAAAAAGCUCGUAGUUGAAUGUUGGUGUCGAACGAGCGGUCAGCUUCGGCUGUACUGCUCUCUCGACUCCUUCCUUCUGUGGACUACGUCGCACUUUACUGUGUGGCGCUAGACGCAGAUCGUUUACUGUGAAAAAAUUAGAGUGUUCAAAGCAGGCCGUACGCUUGAAUACAUUAGCAUGGAAUAAUGGAAUAGGACGUCGGGCCUAUUUUGUUGGUUCUAGGACCGUCGUAAUGAUUAAUAGGGACAGUUGGGGCCGUUUAUAUUCCGUAGUCAGAGGUGAAAUUCUUGGAUUUACGGAAGAUAAACUACUGCGAAAGCAUUCGGCAAGGAUGUUUUCGUUAA
rnacentral:rRNA from 1 species